rnacentral:rRNA from 1 species
AUGGCGGCCGAGGCUCAGCAAUUGACCGUUCCCACCGAGGCAGAGCUUCUGCAGGGGCAGGCCGACCUUUGGCGCCACAGCCUCUACUACAUGACCUCCAUGGCAUUCCAGUGCGCCGUCAAGCUCGGCGUCCCAACCACCAUCCACAGCCUGGGUGGCGCGGCAUCGCUGCCCGAUCUGGUCGUCGCGCUGUCCCUUCCACCUGCCAAGCUGCCUUACCUCUGUCGCAUCAUGCGGCUGCUGGCUACCUCCGGCGUCUUCGCCGCUGAUAACGCCACCGACGUGGUCACCUACCGCCUGACCCCGCUGUCCUGGCUCCUGCUUGACGGCGUCGCCGUAGAAGGCCACCCAAGCCAAAGCUCCCUUGUGCUCGCCGCAACCUCGAGAAACUGCCUUGAGGCUGCGAUGGGGCUCUCCGACUGGUUCAAGAAGGACGUCGCGGCGUCGCCAUUUGAGGAUCUCCAUGGCGUCACCCUCUUCGACGGGAGCAUGGCGGAACAAGACCCCGAGAUCGAUGCCGUGUUCAACGACGCUCUGGCGUCCCAUGAUAACUCCGGGUUCCUCACGGUCCUGCGGGAGUGCGGCACCAUCUUCCAGGGGCUCGAGUCCCUGACCGACUGCUGUGGUGGCGACGGCACGACAGCGAGAGCCAUCGUGGAGACCUUUCCGCAAAUCAAGUGCACCGUGCUCGACCUUCCGCGGGUGAUCGACAAUGUCCAAGCAGAUGGUGUGGUUAACUACGUGGCCGGUGACAUGUUCAAGUCCGUCCCACCUGCUCAUGCUGUGUUGAUCAAGCUUGUGCUGCACCACUGGAGUGAUGAGGACUGUGUGAAGAUCCUUGCUCAAUGCAAGAAGGCCAUCCCUUCGCGGGAAGAGGGAGGGAAAGUGAUGGUGAUCGACAUAGUUGUAGACUCUUCUUCGGGACCAACGCACGAAGCAGAGCUCCUGAUGGAUGUAGCCAUGAUGGUGAUGACCAAUGGCCGGCAGCGAGAUGAAACUGACUGGAGCGAGAUAUUCACCAAGGCAGGAUUCAAUGACUACAAACUUGUGAAGAAACUCGGAGCUCGAGGUGUCUUUGAGGUCUACCCAUGA